UAUCACCUUCCAUAAAUAUAUUGCAACUCAUCUACCCCCUAUAUCUAGCCUAUUUCCAGCUGUGUUUUAUCAUUUCAAGCAACACUAAAGUCAAUAUUCUUGUACAUUCCCCAAAAUGAAUUAAGCAAAGGUCCUGAUGGAAUUGGAAUUCAUAGCCCUCUGAUCAUCUUACCCUAACAUUUCUCCCCCUCUGGGUGUAUGAACCAACAUUCUUUUUGGGGUGCAGAAGGUGGGAGUUCUGGAUUGAAAGAGAAUCUUAAUCUCCAAUGCAAUGGUAGAGCCUACCAUGUGAGUCAACUGCAAACCAAAACCAUGAGCCUGCUGCCACCUUGAACUUGGACUUCAAGCCUCUAAAAACGUAAUAAACAAAGCUGUUGUUUAA